rnacentral:rRNA from 1 species
AUGUGGGGGCUGUCGGCGGGGACGCUGCUGAAGCCGGUGUGCAGGUGGCUGCUGAAGCGGCUCGGGGACCUCACCCUGGGCGACCUCGACCUUGACCAGUUGGACCUCCAGCUCACCCGCGGCACGCUCCAACUCUCCGACCUCGCGCUCAACGCCGACUUCAUCAACGCAAAGCUAUCAGGAUCUCCUAUCACAGUUAAAGAAGGAUCUAUAAAAUCCCUGCUAGUUAAAUUACCUUUACAGUUAAGGAGUUGGAAGGUUGAGAUUGUAGUGGAAGGGUUGGAGUUUGUACUUGCACCAUCUGUUGCUAGUGAAGCCUCACCUGUAGAUACUGAGUGCUCUGUUUCUGCUGGUAAUAGUGAUACAGAGGCGAGAUCGGCUGAGACCAAGAGGAAUGAACCUGAUAGUAAUCCCUGCUCUACUUCUGCAUCUCGAGAUGUGGACGAUGGUGUGAAGAGAAUAGCCAACGCCAUCAAGCAGUUUCUUACAAGAUUUAAUAUCAAGUUGAAAAAUACGUAUGUAGUAUUUGACCCUCAAAGCAUUUUGGAUAAAAGGGCCUUGCAAUUUAAUCGGUCGCUAGUUUUCCGAACUAAAGAGAUACAGUGUGGAACCAAUCUUUCAACAGACAGUCCAGUCAAAUUGAAUAACUUAGUAACAUUCCAAGAGGCGGUCAUUGAGUUUUUGAAGAUGGAUGAUGUUGAUGCAAAUCUUCAGAACGAUCUGGAUAGAGGAACAGCUGACAUUUCAUCAAAUCAUAGUACUACUGCGGUCUUGACAAGUCCCAUUGGUGGAUUCUCAGGAACAUUGAACUUAAGCAUCCCAUGGAAUAGUGGAUGCUUGAACUUUCAAAAAAUUGAUGCAGACAUAUCUGUUGAUUCAUUAGAAUUGCAGUUACAGAUGAGCAGUAUCCAAUGGUUCAUGGAUGUAUAUGAUUCUCUUUGUAGGAACUCGGCAGAUGAACAUAAUUGUGUACAUAGUACUGCAGAUAUGUCUAUGAACGCCUCCAGAGCUUCCUUAUGUGCAUCCACAUCAAGCUCGUCGAAAUCAGGUUCAGCCUCUGCGAUAGCUAGCGGGGACGGUUUGUCACAGAGAGCAUUUUCUCGAAGCAGGCAAGACAAUUUUCAGGAUGGUUUCCUCAACAAGGCACAUGUGAUUCAAGACUGGAUUCCGGGUCUUGGUGUCCAUAGUGACCAAGGUGAAUUUGAUUCAGAUUGUGAUGAAAGCAUCAGUCAGUUCUUUGAAUGCUUUGAGGAACUGAGGAGCUCUCAUACUAAUUUAGGAAAUAGUGGCAUAUGGGACUGGACGUGUUCGGUAUUCAACGCAAUUACUUUUGCAUCCGCAUUAGCUUCUGGAUCCGAUCAAGUCCCUAAAGAAACACUGAUUGAGAAAACCUUGCGGGCUUCCAUUGCUCAGAUAGGCAUUAUUCUUUUGUUCAGUGAUGAAAUGGAUACUGGCAGUUCCAGUAUUUCUCUGAGUCUCGUCAAAGAUAUGAGAAGUUUGGAAAUGUUUUCAAGCUGUCUUUCUCCUGCUCAUUUUGAGCGAUCGAUGAUAUCUCCUGCUAGUGCUUCCAGUUUAAGUAUGCAUCAUCUUGAAUACAAGUGUCAUAACAUUCAUCUUGACCUUGAGACAUAUCCGAAAAACUUGAGGUUGAAAGCAUCGAUUGGCCACAUGAGGCUCGAUGAAUACUACAGCACUGAAAAGCAUGAUUCAGAUCACACACCCGUUAUUGCUCCUUUCUUAAAUAGUGAUUAUUGCCAUGAAGUUCAAGCUGCUCUCCCUUCAUUCCCGUUUGCUGCUCAAGAUUACUGGGUGGAGUCAUCUGGAUACUCUUCGAACAAUUCAAGUAAACUAGCUAAGGUUGAAUUGCUUAAAACAUUUGGUGAUUCCACAUUCCAUUAUGAUGUUAGUAGCACAGAUCGAGGUGGCAACUCAGUAAGCUCAACUUCACUGUCAAUCUGUUUGGCUUCAUUAGUUUGGUGGGUGCAUUUCCAUACAGUACACAUGCUACUGAAUUUUAUCAGUAAAAUUGAGUCUGAUGCGGUGCACGGAAAGCAUAAACUCCAUAUGCGUGGUGAUACAGGAAACAGUAAGUUGACCACCAAAACUAAUAUUUCACCAAGUGGGAGUCUAAAGGUUCAGAUGGCUCUCUCACGUUCAAGAGUCAUCAUUUGCUUUCCUACUGAGUCCCCGUGGGAUUUAAGCCGCCCAUCCAUCCUGGAUACAUUCCUUGUCAUUGACCGCACAUCCUCUCUGGACCCAGGGGAAGCUUCGUCUCCAUUCCGAAAGGAAAUGCCUAAUGAUGCUCAUUCCGGCAUACCAUCUACCUCACUCCAUUUGGCUGCUGGGAACUUCGACAUCUAUUUGCUUAGACCGAUGAGCUAUGAAUUGGAUGACAGAAGCCAUUCUUUGAGUAGGCAAACUUUUUUUGCUCUGAAGAUUAUCUCAGUCACUAGUUCCAACUGUAGCGACUCUAGUAUUAAGAUGAUCUGGAGAAAAUACCCUGUAACUGACCCUGAGAUGGUUAGUAAAGCUUGGAGUUUGCCAAACCUGCAUGACCAAAAGAUUACUCAGCGAGAAAGGGGCAAUUUUGCUGGUGUUUCCUCUUAUACAACCUCACAGGAUCUUGAGAAGUCGAGUUAUAGUAUACGCCAGGAGCUCCUUCAGAGCACUGAGUGCUUUCUGCAUAUUAAACUUUCUUCAGUUUCAGUUCAUCUCAAUAAGAAGGAUUGUGGAUUACUGAAUCAGCUACUAGAUUGCAUUCUCAGCGGGCUGUCCAAUGGUGCAAUGAGCAGCUCUGAAAGUGGAAGGGACAAAUCUAUGCCUAUCAAUGAUGUUGCCAUCCAAUCAGCUAUCACUUUUGAAUGCAGCUUUUUGGAUAUUUGUACUGAAUUAAAUGAAACUGUGGUAGUUGGUCCUUUGCUGCAGACAGAACUAGAAGGUUCCUGGAAUUGUUUUAAGCUGUCCAUUUCAAAAAUUUCCCUGUGCUCUUUUUCUAAUGUAGGCGGAAUCAAUAAUGCCAGUUUUCUUUGGGUGAAUCAUGGUGAAGGUGAGCUUUGGGGUUCUGUUACUGAUACAAAUGAUAAAACCUAUGCCGAAAGCAAAGUUUUUCUCCUAGUUGUCUGUAAGGACUCUGCUAAUAUGCGAGGUGAUGGUGAAGGAAACAAUGCACUAUCUUUUGGAACUUCUGGCUGUUCCGUGACCCACAUCAGGAACCCAAAUCUACAAGAGGACUAUACUUCUGCCAGUUUUCGUUCUGGGACAAUUGUGGCACCUGGUGGACGCAUGGAUUGGAUCAAUGCAAUGUGCCUGCUGUUUAAUGCAGGUUCACGCGGAACUGAACAGUCCAAUAACAGCAAAACAGGGGAUAAUUCAUGUCCUGGUGACCGGUCAUCUUUUUUUCUUGAGUUGGUUGAUGUUGCUGUGAGCUAUGAAUCUCAUGUAAAAACUUCCACCUUCAGCGCUGAAGCUCCUGAUUGCAAGUCUUUUUCAUGCAUUUUAGCUGCAUCAUCGUUUAAACUUCACAGUAUAUCUGCACCAGACUCUGCAGCUACAGAUUUUGAUAUCCAGCUGCGAGAUCUCGGGCUUUUCAUCUGUGAAUCAUUUGGUUCCAAAAAUGCCACUUGCGGUUAUGGUGUUGAUUAUCUUCAUAAAAUGGGUUACACUAAGAUUGCCCGUGACACGUUCAUUGAAGCUGCUCUAAGAAUUGACACUUCCUUUUGGAAGCUUGAAAUAUCAGAUUCACAAUUUGAUAUUGGUACAUGUUGUGAUACAACACAUGGUCUUAUUUGUUUGUGUUCCCACCUCCAGAAUCUAUAUGCUCCAGACAUGCGUGAUGCUUUAGUUCAUCUACAAUCUAGGUGGAAUAGUGUCCAGCAAGCAAACAACCAUAAUAUGGCCAGUGAUGCAUCAGACAAGUCAGAGAGCAGCAUUGACAACUUGGCAUAUUCUGGAGAGUGCUUAUCAGAUGGACUACUUGAUGAUAUAAUUGAGAAUGCUUUUUACACAGACCAGGACUACAAAGCCUACAAUUUUUCUAGCAGAAAUUAUCACAACUCACCAAGUAGCAAUGGAAUGGAUGUUGAGUCUGAGUCGCCCACCCCUGGGGCAACUGACGCCAGUGUUUCACACAUUUUGUUUGGAUCAUCAUUAGCUACUCCAAAAGUCAAUACUACUGAAAUACCAUUGAAACAGGACUCCUGUCAUGAACAAAUUAUUGACUCUUAUUAUAUGCCUGACCUUCUACAGACAUCAUCGUCAACUCUAUGUAAUGUAGGACAUCAAUGUAUAUCUGUUGAUGAUGCUUAUAAAACCAUGGAAUUUGAACAUGGUGGAUGGUAUAACAGUAUUCCCUUGACAAUAGUUGAGAGUCAUGUUCCGGAAAGGAACAACCCACAAGGAGGGCAUGUGGCCCGCCAAGAAGGGAAGCCUACUGUUUGCAGCUUGAAUUAUGAGGAAUCUUGUUAUUUGAAAGGAAAGGUUAUAAUUCAUGAUGUAAAUGUCAAUUGGCGAAUGUAUGCUGGAGAUGACUGGUCAUUAGCUCAGAAAGAUGUAAAUAACUUCUCAUCCUCAAGUGGAAGGAAUAUGAGCUCUUCCUUAGAAUUUCUUAUCUCGGGGCUUGGUGUACAGUUUGAUAUGUAUCCAGAUGGGGGUGUUUCUGUUUCUAAGUUAUCUAUCUCUGCACGGGACAUAAAUCUUUGUGAUCAAAGGGUGGAUGCUCCAUGGAAAAUGGUUCUUGGCUGCUACGACUCAGAUUACCCAAGAGAAUCUUGUUCUAGUGCAUUCACGUUAGAACUGGAGUCUGUAAAGCCCGAGCUACAGACUCCUUUGGAAGAUUACAGAUUGUGCCUUGAGAUUUUGCCUCUUCAAUUGCAUCUUGAUCAAGGGCAGCUUAAGUUCCUCAUGUGUUUCUUUCAGAAUGACUCUUGUGACAACAGCUCUCAUUUGCCUUGCAAAAAUGAUAUUGUUCAUAUAGAGAGCACAAUCUAUGGAAGCAAUACAGUUCUGGAUGAGGCAUUACUUCCGUUCUUUCAGAAAUUUGAUGUCAAGCCUAUUGUUCUGCACAUCAACUAUAUCCCUCGUCAGUUUGAUCCUGUUGCACUAGGCAAAGGAAAUUAUGCAGAACUUCUCAACAUCCUUCCGUUGAAGGGAAUCGAUUUGAAGCUUAAACAUGUUUCUGCAAUGGGGUUGUAUGGGUGGAAUAGUAUUUGUGAAACAGUUGGUGCAGAGUGGUUGGAGGACAUAUCUAAAAAUCAGGUCCAUAAAUUGUUAAAAGGGCUUCCUCCUUUAAAAUCAGUCAGUGCCGUUGUUUCAGGCACUAAGAAAUUGAUAUCUUUACCCAUCGAAAGUUACAAGAAAGACCGGAAGUUGGUCAAGGGAAUGCAAAGAGGUGCUGUUGCCUUUAUCAGAAGUGUUUCCAUUGAAGCUGUAGGGCUUGGUGUCCAUUUGGCAGCGGGAGCUCAUGAUAUGCUGCUGAAGGCAGAACAUGCCCUUACAGCUCUUCCACCACCUUUAGCCGCGUGUGAAGCUAAAAGAAACAAAGAUAACGUAAGGGCAAACCAACCCGAAAAUGCAACACAAGGAAUAAAGCAGGCUUAUGAAAGCUUUACUGAUGGACUUGGAAGGACUGCCUCUGCUUUGAUUGGGAAUCCUAUUAACGUGUAUAAUCGCGGGGCUGGUGCCAGAUCAGCACUGACUACUGCAAUUUGUGGAGCUCCAGCUGCUGUAGUAGCUCCAGUAUCAGCAACUGCCCGUGCUGUACAUUAUGCACUUCUUGGUAUAAGGAACAGCCUUGAUCCUAGACGCAAGAAAGAAUCUAUGUACAAGUACCUGGGGCCUUCUCAACUGUAG